rnacentral:rRNA from 1 species
GAUGAACGCUGGCGGCGUGCCUAAUACAUGCAAGUCGAGCGAACAGAUAAGGAGCUUGCUCCUUUGACGUUAGCGGCGGACGGGUGAGUAACACGUGGGUAACCUACCUAUAAGACUGGGAUAACUUCGGGAAACCGGAGCUAAUACCGGAUAACAUUUGGAACCGCAUGGUUCUAAAGUGAAAGAUGGUUUUGCUAUCACUUAUAGAUGGACCCGCGCCGUAUUAGCUAGUUGGUAAGGUAACGGCUUACCAAGGCGACGAUACGUAGCCGACCUGAGAGGGGGAGCGGCGCCUGUGGAACUGAAACACGGUCCAGACUCCGACGGGAGGCAGCAGUAGGGAAGCUUGCGCAAAAGGCGAAAGCCUGACGGAGCAACGCCGCGUGAGUGAUGAAGGGUUUCGGCUCGGAAAACUCUGUUAUUAGGGAAGAACAAAUGUGUAAGUAACUGUGCACGUCUUGACGGUACCUAAUCAGAAAGCCACGGCUAACUACGUG